CCCAGACGAACAAAGCAGAAAAUGGUUGCUAUGGAGACAAAACCAACAGAAAAGCAGCCAUUUUGAAAAAUGUGUUUUUUACGUCAAUGUGUCGCAUACAGGUCAGAGCAGCCUUACUCAAAGAAGAGGAGGGGAGUCAAUGGUGUGCAGUGAAGGUCGGGUCAGAGGUCAGAGGUCAGAGGUGGGCAGCAAGGAAGGCGGUGGUGAUGCGUAGAGGCAGCGGCGAGGUCAAGAGCGGGUAGCGACUGCGGGCCAUACGAUGACAUGUUGCUUUAAUUACUUGGAAACACAAACAGGAAGUCUCUGACGGGUACUUCCUGUGCAGCCGGAGGCUCAGCGCCGAUCAGGAGCUCCAGGUUUCCUUCCAGACAAACGCUGUCGUCAGUCACAGCAGAUACAAAGUCAAUGAGGACCAACGCGCUCCUAGAGCAGGAGCGAUUCCCCUCAGCGCUGCCGAGCGAGCGGCUGGAGGAAUGGUCUCCAGAGGUUCCCCACCUGAGCUCGGUCCAAAUAAAGCAUCUCCAAAUCCAACAGGCGCACACACGUUACGCUGCCGAGUCCGGGGGGACAGCCGGUGCAGAAUGGAAAUUAAUAUUCUGAAUGUAGGCCAGGGCUGCAGCACCGCCGAGGCAUCCAUUCCAGCUUGAGGAUUUUGUUGAUCACAUUCUUUCCGUGUUGUUUUCUGCUUUGAAGUUUGGAAAUAAUAAAUACAACUUCCAAAGAAAAUCCCAAGAAAAGUGUUUUCAGGCUCUGAAGGGUAAAUCUGUUUCUCUGCUGAGAGACCAUCUCAGAGUUCAGGGAAAGUAAAGACGUUUGGAGUCUGAAGAGCCGCCUGCAGGUCUGACCUUUAACCCUUUCAGUCCAGGAGGUAACGUUGGUUCUGAUGUCAAUGAAAAGGUUUUCCAAGCCGGAGAAAAACAGAAGAUUAAAGAGAUCAACAGAGAAGAAACAUUUCCAUCUUCAUGCUGUUAUGAUCCGGUUGAGUUCUCUCAAAAACGUUUAUCUGAUCGAUUUAUUACUAAUGCCUCAAGAAUCCUCGGAAUAUUAUGUUAAAGACAGAAGCAGCAGUAAAACAGACGAAUAAACAGGAGAAGACGAACACAAAUGAGCAGCAAAGACUC